UACGAAGGGUGCAAACGUUGUUCGGAAUUACUGGGCGUAAAGGGCGCGUAGGCGGCCGCCUAAGUCAGACGUGAAAUCCCUCGGCUCAACCGGGGAACUGCGUCUGAUACUGGGUGGCUUGAAUCCGGGAGAGGGAUGCGGAAUUCCAGGUGUAGCGGUGAAAUGCGUAGAUAUCUGGAGGAACACCGGUGGCGAAGGCGGCAUCCUGGACCGGCAUUGACGCUAAAGCGCGAAAGCCAGGGGAGCAAACGGG
rnacentral:rRNA from 1 species